AGGCUCAUGCGGCGGCUACACAUGCAAGUCGAGCGGUAACAGAUCCAGCUUGCUGGAUGCUGACGAGCGGCGGACGGGUGAGUAAUGCAUAGGAAUCUGCCCGAUAGUGGGGGAUAACCUGGGGAAACCCAGGCUAAUACCGCAUACGUCCUACGGGAGAAAGGGGGCUUCGGCUCCCGCUAUCGGAUGAGCCUAUGUCGGAUUAGCUAGUUGGUGAGGUAACGGCUCACCAAGGCCACGAUCCGUAGCUGGUCUGAGAGGAUGAUCAGCCACAUCGGGACUGAGACACGGCCCGAACUCCUACGGGAGGCAGCAGUGGGGAAUAUUGGACAAUGGGGGGAACCCUGAUCCAGCCAUGCCGCGUGUGUGAAGAAGGCCCUCGGGUUGUAAAGCACUUUCAGCGAGGAAGAACGCCUAGCGGUUAAUACCCGCUAGGAAAGACAUCACUCGCAGAAGAAGCACCGGCUAACUCCGUGCCAGCAGCCGCGGUAAUACGGAGGGUGCAAGCGUUAAUCGGAAUUACUGGGCGUAAAGCGCGCGUAGGUGGCUUGAUAAGCCGGUUGUGAAAGCCCCGGGCUCAACCUGGGAACGGCAUCCGGAACUGUCAAGCUAGAGUGCAGGAGAGGAAGGUAGAAUUCCCGGUGUAGCGGUGAAAUGCGUAGAGAUCGGGAGGAAUACCAGUGGCGAAGGCGGCCUUCUGGACUGACACUGACACUGAGGUGCGAAAGCGUGGGUAGCAAACAGGAUUAGAUAUCUUUGUAGUC
rnacentral:rRNA from 1 species